GGUCAUUUAUAAAAAGUUGGGUUUUUUUCGAACUGCACAGGAAAUUAUUUUUUCCUCUUGUGCUUGUCUUAUUUAAAUCUUUCACUAUUAAAAAAAAUUAUGCACUUUUUUAGUCAUUUUUCUUUUAACUAUUUUUUCAACAAAAAAAACAAAAUAGGAAAAUGUGUCCAUAGGACACCACACCUGGCUGGGUCUUUUUCAUUUCCAGGUUCACAAACUUAAAAUCUGGAUAAUUA
rnacentral:lncRNA from 1 species